UCUCCCUGAGGGUUUAACCCUCCUGAAGGGCCGUGGAAGACUACCACGUUGAUAGGCUGGGUGUGGAAGCGCUGUGAGGCGUGAAGCUAACCAGUACUAAUUGCCCGUGCGGCUUGACUAU
rnacentral:rRNA from 1 species